UUGACCUUUUCUGUUAUUUUUUUUUUCACUCACAGAGGGUGGGACAGGAGGCAGAGUGAAGGAAAAGGUCAA
rfam:Neotoma lepida isolate 417 scaffold_23, whole genome shotgun sequence.